UUUUGUUGGUGGCCAUGAUGUUGUUGCGCUUCUCCCCACCGGGUUCGGGAAAAGUUUGUUUUUCCAGCUGGCUCCGUUAGUGGUGAAGGGAGCCGGUCCCGUCGCAUGACAUACGUCACGACCAAACGCUAUGCGAUUGGUUAUUGCAGAUCCAGAGUGGCACUGGUCAGAUCCAAUCAUUUUAAAACUUCAACAGACACCCGCCUCCAAAUGGCAAUGAAAUUUCAAAAAGAUCCGGGGCUUUCGAAGUGAGAUGAUAAGCCCGAAAGACUCCCCCGCCCCCCGCUCCGCGCCUGGGCAGUAACAGGAGCGGCACUAGCAACAGUCUGUGGAGGCGGGGCCGUGCUCGGGGCUCCGUUGGUCCUGGGGUUCGUUGGGUUCACCACUCUAG